rnacentral:lncRNA from 1 species
GAAGUGCAGUUGAUGGUAGGGAAACAAAUAUCUUACAAGAUCUAUUACAUAUAUUUCAGAACCAGUCAAGAAACCAGAACCUCCACCUCCUGCUCCGGUCCCAGUCCCAGUCCCAGUCCCCAAAGUAGAAGAAGUUAUUCCAACCAAAGUUGCUGCCAAGAAAGCUGAAGAGAUCAAAGUGACAACUGUACUUAAGAAGAAGGAGCCAAUUUAUGAGAAAAAGGAAGAAAUCCAUGAGGUUCGCAAAGAAAUACAUGAAGAAUGGGAAGAGGAGUAUGGGGAGAAACAUGAAUACUAUGAAAAAGAAGAAGGUUAUGAUGAAGGGGAAGAGGAAUGGACAUAUGAAGAAAGAAAAGAGAAAAAACCACUUUAUCAGGAAGAAUGGGAAGAGGAGUAUGGGGAAAAACAUGAAUACUAUGAACGAGAAGAAGGUUAUGACGAAGGAGAAGAUGAGUGGGCAUAUACAGAAAAACAAGUAACCUACAAGAAAAAGCCAGUUUAUCAUGAAGAAGUGGUCCUAGUUCCUAAAAAGCCAGAACCUGUGCCAAAACGUCCAGAAAUUUCAGCCAAGAAAGAGGAAAAGAAAAAAAUUACGAUACAGAAAGGUUUGGACAUUAAAAUGAUAGCACUGCAGCAUGUUUCUUUUAAAAUUUGCUUUU